rnacentral:rRNA from 3 species
AGCGUACACGGUGGAUGCCCUGGCAGUCAGAGGCGAUGAAGGACGUGCUAAUCUGCGAUAAGCGUCGGUGAGGUGAUAUGAACCGUUAUAACCGGCGAUUUCCGAAUGGGGAAACCCAGUGUGUUUCGACACACUAUCAUUAACUGAAUCCAUAGGUUAAUGAGGCGAACCGGGGGAACUGAAACAUCUAAGUACCCCGAGGAAAAGAAAUCAACCGAGAUUCCCCCAGUAGCGGCGAGCGAACGGGGAGGAGCCCAGAGCCUGAAUCAGUGUGUGUGUUAGUGGAAGCGUCUGGAAAGGCGCGCGAUACAGGGUGACAGCCCCGUACACAAAAAUGCACAUAUUGUGAGCUCGAUGAGUAGGGCGGGACACGUGGUAUCCUGUCUGAAUAUGGGGGGACCAUCCUCCAAGGCUAAAUACUCCUGACUGACCGAUAGUGAACCAGUACCGUGAGGGAAAGGCGAAAAGAACCCCGGCGAGGGGAGUGAAAAAGAACCUGAAACCGUGUACGUACAAGCAGUGGGAGCCUCUUAAUGGGGUGACUGCGUACCUUUUGUAUAAUGGGUCAGCGACUUAUAUUCUGUAGCAAGGUUAACCGAAUAGGGGAGCCGAAGGGAAACCGAGUCUUAACUGGGCGUUAAGUUGCAGGGUAUAGACCCGAAACCCGGUGAUCUAGCCAUGGGCAGGUUGAAGGUUGGGUAACACUAACUGGAGGACCGAACCGACUAAUGUUGAAAAAUUAGCGGAUGACUUGUGGCUGGGGGUGAAAGGCCAAUCAAACCGGGAGAUAGCUGGUUCUCCCCGAAAGCUAUUUAGGUAGCGCCUCGUGAAUUCAUCUCCGGGGGUAGAGCACUGUUUCGGCAAGGGGGUCAUCCCGACUUACCAACCCGAUGCAAACUGCGAAUACCGGAGAAUGUUAUCACGGGAGACACACGGCGGGUGCUAACGUCCGUCGUGAAGAGGGAAACAACCCAGACCGCCAGCUAAGGUCCCAAAGUCAUGGUUAAGUGGGAAACGAUGUGGGAAGGCCCAGACAGCCAGGAUGUUGGCUUAGAAGCAGCCAUCAUUUAAAGAAAGCGUAAUAGCUCACUGGUCGAGUCGGCCUGCGCGGAAGAUGUAACGGGGCUAAACCAUGCACCGAAGCUGCGGCAGCGACACUAUGUGUUGUUGGGUAGGGGAGCGUUCUGUAAGCCUGUGAAGGUGGCCUGUGAGGGUUGCUGGAGGUAUCAGAAGUGCGAAUGCUGACAUAAGUAACGAUAAAGCGGGUGAAAAGCCCGCUCGCCGGAAGACCAAGGGUUCCUGUCCAACGUUAAUCGGGGCAGGGUGAGUCGACCCCUAAGGCGAGGCCGAAAGGCGUAGUCGAUGGGAAACAGGUUAAUAUUCCUGUACUUGGUGUUACUGCGAAGGGGGGACGGAGAAGGCUAUGUUGGCCGGGCGACGGUUGUCCCGGUUUAAGCGUGUAGGCUGGUUUUCCAGGCAAAUCCGGAAAAUCAAGGCUGAGGCGUGAUGACGAGGCACUACGGUGCUGAAGCGACAAAUGCCCUGCUUCCAGGAAAAGCCUCUAAGCAUCAGGUAACAUCAAAUCGUACCCCAAACCGACACAGGUGGUCAGGUAGAGAAUACCAAGGCGCUUGAGAGAACUCGGGUGAAGGAACUAGGCAAAAUGGUGCCGUAACUUCGGGAGAAGGCACGCUGAUAUGUAGGUGAAGCGACUUGCUCGUGGAGCUGAAAUCAGUCGAAGAUACCAGCUGGCUGCAACUGUUUAUUAAAAACACAGCACUGUGCAAACACGAAAGUGGACGUAUACGGUGUGACGCCUGCCCGGUGCCGGAAGGUUAAUUGAUGGGGUUAGCGGUAACGCGAAGCUCUUGAUCGAAGCCCCGGUAAACGGCGGCCGUAACUAUAACGGUCCUAAGGUAGCGAAAUUCCUUGUCGGGUAAGUUCCGACCUGCACGAAUGGCGUAAUGAUGGCCAGGCUGUCUCCACCCGAGACUCAGUGAAAUUGAACUCGCUGUGAAGAUGCAGUGUACCCGCGGCAAGACGGAAAGACCCCGUGAACCUUUACUAUAGCUUGACACUGAACAUUGAGCCUUGAUGUGUAGGAUAGGUGGGAGGCUUUGAAGUGUGGACGCCAGUCUGCAUGGAGCCGACCUUGAAAUACCACCCUUUAAUGUUUGAUGUUCUAACGUGGGCCCCUUACCGGGGUUGCGGACAGUGUCUGGUGGGUAGUUUGACUGGGGCGGUCUCCUCCUAAAGAGUAACGGAGGAGCACGAAGGUUGGCUAAUCCUGGUCGGACAUCAGGAGGUUAGUGCAAUGGCAUAAGCCAGCUUGACUGCGAGCGUGACGGCGCGAGCAGGUGCGAAAGCAGGUCAUAGUGAUCCGGUGGUUCUGAAUGGAAGGGCCAUCGCUCAACGGAUAAAAGGUACUCCGGGGAUAACAGGCUGAUACCGCCCAAGAGUUCAUAUCGACGGCGGUGUUUGGCACCUCGAUGUCGGCUCAUCACAUCCUGGGGCUGAAGUAGGUCCCAAGGGUAUGGCUGUUCGCCAUUUAAAGUGGUACGCGAGCUGGGUUUAGAACGUCGUGAGACAGUUCGGUCCCUAUCUGCCGUGGGCGCUGGAGAACUGAGGGGGGCUGCUCCUAGUACGAGAGGACCGGAGUGGACGCAUCACUGGUGUUCGGGUUGUCAUGCCAAUGGCACUGCCCGGUAGCUAAAUGCGGAAGAGAUAAGUGCUGAAAGCAUCUAAGCACGAAACUUGCCCCGAGAUGAGUUCUCCCUGACUCCUUGA